AAGCUCACCCGCUUAAGAAAUAGAGGCGGAUGGGAAGGUGGUUUUCCCAGGGUGAAGCUCAUCCACUGCACGGCGGCUGUGCUCACCCCUGCGAUUUCCCCAAAUGCCGGAAACUCGACGGCAUAAUUUGUGGUAGUGGGGGACUGGGUUCCCACUCUCCCCCG